rnacentral:rRNA from 1 species
AUAUAUACAGUGAAACUGCGAAUGGCUCAUUAAAUCAGUUAUCGUUUAUUUGAUAAUACCUUACUACUUGGAUAACCGUGGUAAUUCUAGAGCUAAUACAUGCAUAAAAGUCCCGACCCCUGGAAGGGAUGUAUUUAUUAGAUAAAAAACCAAUGCCUUCGGGCUCUUUGGUGAUUCAUAGUAACUUAACGAAUCGCAUGGCCUUGUGCUGGCGAUGGUUCAUUCAAAUUUCUGCCCUAUCAACUUUCGAUGGUAGGAUAUAGGCCUACCAUGGUUUCAACGGGUAACGGGGAAUUAGGGUUCUAUUCCGGAGAGGGAGCCUGAGAAACGGCUACCACAUCCAAGGAAGGCAGCAGGCGCGCAAAUUACCCAAUCCCGACACGGGGAGGUAGUGACAAUAAAUACUGAUACAGGUGGUUUUAUGCCUCUUGUAAUUGGAAUGAGUACAAUUUAAAUCUCUUAACGAGGAACAAUUGGAGGGCAAGUCUGGUGCCAGCAGCCGCGGUAAUUCCAGCUCCAAUAGCGUAUAUUAAAGUUGUUGCAGUUAAAAAGCUCGUAGUUGAACCUUGGACCUGGCCAACUGGUCUGCCUCACCGCAUGCACUGGUUUGGUCGGGUCUUUCCUUCUGGCAAACUGCAUGCCCUUCACUGGGUGUGUUGGGGAACCAGGACUUUUACUUUGAAAAAAUUAGAGUGUUCAAAGCAGGCAUUUGCUCGAAUACAUUAGCAUGGAAUAAUAGAAUAGGACGUGUGGUUCUAUUUUGUUGGUUUCUAGGACCACCGUAAUGAUUAAUAGGGAUAGUCGGGGGCAUCAGUAUUCAAUCGUCAGAGGUGAAAUUCUUGGAUCGAUUGAAGACUAACUACUGCGAAAGCAUUUGCCAAGGAUGUUUUCAUUAAUCAGGGAACGAAAGUUAGGGGAUCGAAGACGAUCAGAUACCGUCGUAGUCUUAACCAUAAACUAUGCCGACUAGGGAUUGGGCGAUGUUCUUUUUUGACUCGCUCAGCACCUUACGAGAAAUCAAAGUCUUUGG